rnacentral:ncRNA from 2 species
AAAAUAUUUUUAAAAUUAGGUGCUAAAAUCUUUUCGAAAGAUUUUCUGCUUAAAAGGGAAGUUUGGUAUAAGCCAACGCGGUCCCGCCACUGUAAAUGAGAGCAACCUAUAUUGUGUCACUGUCGACUACGAUGGGAAGGCAUAGGAAGCGACGAUCAUGAGUCAGGAAACCUGCCUAAUUCUUGUGCGCCAA